rnacentral:tRNA from 1 species
CGGGGUGUAGCGCAGCUUGGUAGCGCAUCUGGUUUGGGACCAGAGGGCCGCGGGUUCAAAUCCUGCCACCCCGACCA